rnacentral:rRNA from 1 species
UGGGGAAUCUUGGACAAUGGGGGCAACCCUGAUCCAGCCAUGCCGCGUGGACGAUGAAGGCCCUAGGGUUGUAAAGUCCUUUCACCGGUGAAGAUAAUGACGGUAGCCGGAGAAGAAGCCCCGGCUAACUCCGUGCCAGCAGCCGCGGUAAUACGGAGGGGGUUAGCGUUGUUCGGAAUUACUGGGCGUAAAGCGCACGUAGGCGGACCAGAAAGUUGGGGGUGAAAUCCCGGGGGCUCAACCCCGGAACUGCCUCCAAAACUAUUGGUCUAGAGUUCGAGAGAGGUGAGUGGAAUUCCAAGUGUAGAGGUGAAAUUCGUAGAUAUUUGGAGGAACACCAGUGGCGAAGGCGGCUCACUGGCUCGAUACUGACGCUGAGGUGCGAAAGUGUGGGGAGCAAACAGGAUUAGAUACCCUGGUAGUCCACACCGUAAAACGAUGAAUGCCAGUCGUCGGGUAGCAUGCUAUUCGGUGACACACCUAACGGAUUAAGCAUUCCGCCUGGGGAGUACGGUCGCAAGAUUAAAA